rnacentral:rRNA from 1 species
GAUGAACGCUGGCGGCGUGCCUAAUACAUGCAAGUCGAACGCACAGCGAAAGGUGCUUGCACCUUUCAAGUGAGUGGCGAACGGGUGAGUAACACGUGGACAACCUGCCUCAAGGCUGGGGAUAACAUUUGGAAACAGAUGCUAAUACCGAAUAAAACUCAGUGUCGCAUGACACAAAGUUAAAAGGCGCUUUGGCGUCACCUAGAGAUGGAUCCGCGGUGCAUUAGUUAGUUGGUGGGGUAAAGGCCUACCAAGACAAUGAUGCAUAGCCGGGUUGAAGGACGGAUCGGCCACAUUGGGACUGAGACACGGCCCAAACUCCUACGGGAGGCUGCAGUAGGGAAUCUUCCACAAUGGGCGAAAGCCUGAUGGAGCAACGCCGCGUGUGUGAUGAAGGCUUUCGGGUCGUAAAGCACUGUUGUAUGGGAAGAACAGCUAGAAUAGGGAAUGAUUUUAGUUUGACGGUACCAUACCAGAAAGGGACGGCUAAAUACGUGCCAGCCGCCGCUGUAA